CCUACGGGUGGCUGCAGUGGGGAAUUUUGGACAAUGGGCGAAAGCCUGAUCCAGCAAUGCCGCGUGUGUGAAGAAGGCCUUCGGGUUGUAAAGCACUUUUGUCCGGAAAGAAAUCCGUCUGGCUAAUACCCGGACGGGAUGACGGUACCGGAAGAAUAAGCACCGGCUAACUACGUGCCAGCAGCCGCGGUAAUACGUAGGGUACGAGCGUUAAUCGGAAUUUCUGGGCGUGACUUGGGCGCACGCAGGUGAAAUCCCCGGGCUCAAACUGGGAACUGCAUUUGUGACUGCAAGGCUAGAGUGCGUCAGAGGGAGGUGGAAUUCCGCGUGUAGCAGUGAAAUGCGUAGAGAUGCGGAGGAACACCGAUGGCGAAGGCAGCCUCCUGGGAUGACACUGACGCUCAUGCACGAAAGCGUGGGGAGCAAACAGGAUUAGAUACCCUAGUAGUC
rnacentral:rRNA from 1 species